UACGGAGGGUGCGAGCGUUGUCCGGAAUCACUGGGCGUAAAGGGCGCGUAGGCGGCGCGAGUAGUCAACGGUGAAAGCCCGGGGCUCAACCCCGGGUCGGCCGUCGAUACUCUCGUGCUUGAGCACUGUAGAGGCAGGUGGAAUUCCGGGUGUAGCGGUGGAAUGCGUAGAGAUCCGGAAGAACACCGGUGGCGAAGGCGGCCUGCUGGGCAGUAGCUGACGCUGAGGCGCGACAGCCUGGGGAGCAAACAGG
rnacentral:rRNA from 1 species